CCUACGGGAGGCUGCAAUUAGGAAUCUUGCGCAAUGGGCGAAAGCCUGACGCAGCGACGCCGCGUGACUGAUGAAGUCUCUCGGGAUGUAAAGGUCUUUUCUGGAGGAAGAAAAAAAUGACGGUACUCCAGGAAUAAGCCCCGGCUAACUACGUGCCAGCAGCCGCGGUAAUACGUAGGGGGCGAGCGUUGUCCGAAUUUACUGGGCGUAAAGCGCGCGUAGGCGGACUAUUAAGUUGGUGGUGAAAUCCCGAGGCUCAACCUCGGAACUGCCUCCAAAACUGUUAGUCUUGAGGUAUGGAGAGGAGAGUGGAAUUCCUGGUGUAGCGGUGAAAUGCGUAGAUAUCAGGAGGAACACCCAUGGCGAAGGCAGCUUUCUGGCCAUAUUCUGACGCUGAUGUGCGAAAGCUAGGGUAGCGAACG
rnacentral:rRNA from 1 species